rnacentral:rRNA from 1 species
AGCAGCCGCCACGGUAAUACGAAGGGUGCAAGCGUUGCUCGGAAUUAUUGGGCGUAAAGGGUAGGUAGGUUGUCUUGUUUGUCUAAGGUGAAAUCCCGUGGCUUAACCGUGGAAGUGCCUUAGAAACGGCAAGACUAGAGUCCUAGAGGGGUUUGUGGAAUUCCCGGUGUAGCGGUGAAAUGCGUAGAGAUCGGAAGGAACAUCUGUGGCGAAGGCGACUAUCUGGGCCAACACUGACACUGAGGCACGAAAGCGUGGGGAGCAAACAGGAUUAGAUACCCCGGUAGUCCCUGUCUCUUAUAC